GGGGGCGCGGAGCGGAGUUAGGGUCGCCAGGCCGAGCCGAGGUGGGACGGACCGACGCAGAGAGGAAGGGAAGCCACCUGGCCUGAAGAUCCCGUCUCUAAGAUCCCAUUCUGAGGCUUCGAGGGUCUGGCUUGAGCAGCACAGACAGGGAUGUGUCUAAUUGGGAUGACCAUGAGGUCUCAUCGCAGUUUGCCACUAACCAGAUAAGGAAAUGGCAGCUGACCCAGGUCAAGGAAGUUUCUGAGGUCCUAGGGCUGAUAAGCGGCCUGACUCCACCACCAGCCCCCAGGAGGAAGCCAACCCCAGCCCUAGAAAAACCCGAUUCCUGAGUGAGUGCUGUAAACCAAAAAUAAAAUUCUAAGCCCCCCAA
rnacentral:lncRNA from 1 species